GGACGCUUAGCUCAGCUGGUUCAGAGCGCCGCCCUUACAAGGCGGAGGUCGCUGGUUCGAUCCCAGCAGCGUCCACCA
rnacentral:tRNA from 1 species